UGGAGUAAAAGGUGUACAUGUUUAUGGGCAAAAUGGAACCCUUGGAUGUUGUAGAACACAAAUGGAGAGAAGUUGGACCGGAAGAGAAGGAUUUGGAUCACUAAAUUUAUUUACGAAGUAGGGUAAAUGACCCUGUCAGGUGACUGACGAACUGAAUGUCGAGUUUCAGAGAAAUUCAGACAAAUGAAAGAAAGGAUUCAAAAUAUGACUAUACUAGGAUGAUUAUCUCGGGUCAGAGCAAAAAUAAAACUUGGAGAGUCCAAGUUUAUCUACAACAUUGCUUAAGGGACCGUGAAGCCGUCGGAUUGCAAAUCGACCGUGAAAAGGCUCUGAAGUUUCUGAUGAAAGAAGAAAGGGAGGACGGGUGAUAGGGUCGAGCUUGACGUGUCGCCGCUGGCGCUCUCGGUCGCCCGCCAGCGUGGCAGCUACGCCACCUCCUUGCCACGCGAGUCCCUAGCUAGACCACGGUGUCGCCCAUGCGUGCGGUAAAACGUUCAUAUAUCUACUGCUCUCGCGCCGCCCCUUUUACCGCCGCUCUUUUUCACCGCCGCCGCUCCUUCUGUCCAAGCCGCCGCUGCCGGGUAAAAUUCUCCCACCACACCACAACUCCCGUCGAUUCCUCUCGCCCACUCCUCCACAGAUACCCCAGCUACACCCCAGUCGAGUCGUUGUCCAGCAUCUUUGCCAGUAUACCCUACGCCGCCGUUGUUUCUGUCCGCCGUCGCCGC
rnacentral:lncRNA from 1 species